rnacentral:lncRNA from 11 species
ACUGUCGGCUUGUGGAGUAUUUUUAGGCCCUCCUAAGCAGAUGCAAACAUCCUCUCUCCCCACCACCACUUCUCUUCCUCCCUCCCUCCUCUGAACUCUUGCUGGAAAGGUCUGCCACAUGUUUUUCAUCUCCCAGUUUUAGAAAAUUUCAAGCGUGACCUCUAUUUUUCACCUGGAUGGUCCACACAAUUUAGAAGUUAA